CACGUAGGGCGCAAGCGUUGUCCGGAAUUAUUGGGCGUAAAGAGCUCGUAGGCGGUCUGUUGCGUCCGCUGUGAAAACUCGGGGCUUAACCCCGAGCCUGCAGUGGAUACGGGCAGACUAGAGGUAGGUAGGGGAGAAUGGAAUUCCCGGUGUAGCGGUGAAAUGCGCAGAUAUCAGGAAGAACACCCGUGGCGAAGGCGGUUCUCUGGGACGGUACUGACGCUGAGACGCGAAAGCGUGGGGGAGCGAAACAGG
rnacentral:rRNA from 1 species